rnacentral:lncRNA from 10 species
AUCGAGGGUUUGCAUAACAGCCUAAGGAGUUUUAGGCUUUGUAUGUCAGCUUGGGAAUCCAUGGGAGGUUAUUGAGAGGGAUAUUAGAAAGGGGAAAGUUGAGUUUUAGGACUAUUGGUCUAGCAAUGGAGGGAGUUGAAGCUGGAGGCUGUCAGAUCAAGUGGCUGCAGUAAUCUAAGAAUGAAGCAAUAAAGAGAGUUGAUCUACAGACAUUUUGAGAGGAGAAUCUGUUGGACAUUGAUGCAGUUAGAUGCCACAGAUUAAGAAGAAAAGAACAUCAAUGAUGGCUCUGAGGUUUCAAUUCGGGGUGACUAGGAGAAUACUGAUAACAUGCAUAGGUAACAAUAGACUAUCCAAGUGCCUCCAAGUGUUUUGCCAACAGUUGGAGAUACGGGACGAGCUUUAAUCAGGAAUAGAAACCAUGCUGUACUUGGGUCGAUUUUAAAGGGAGGCUUCUUCUCUGGUUUCCUGUUCUGACCUCCUCUCAACCAUGAAUGCCUAUACUGUGUUGGUGGCCCUGAUGAAGAAAUGUGCUUCUUCAUUUAGACCCAGGAUGGCUGACGGUUUUCUGAUUGAUUCGUAGCAAAACCUGGAAAGCUAGAUUGAGCGAUUUAAAGCCCAGGCCAAGUGCAGCAGGUGAGGAUGUUGAAGUUGAUGGGUGACAUGUGCUGUGGGUAUGGGAAGAUGCAGCAGAGCCUCGACUGCCAUGCUUUUGCCAAUGUUGCUGUAAAAAGAGCAUUUCUUACAUGUUUUCCUGUUUCUUUGAAAGAAAGAAAAAAAAUCUCUUUGACCACUUCCUAAUGAUCUUCCUGAACACGCAGCUUGCUUGAGUCCUGGUGGAAAAGGCCUUGUAUGGAAGCCCCAGGGACAACUUCCACCACUGAGGAAUUUUCAGUCUUCUGCAUCUGUCAAUCAACUGAACCAUUUAUAGCUGGUGUCUUCUUUUCUCGUGCCCAUAAGCCCUGUCACUGUUGAGCUGGGCCCACCUUAAGACUGAUGUCCUUUGCAAUUUCUGGGACUACUGCAAGUGCUCCUAACUGUCCUCCCUGCCUCCAGCCUUCCAACCUGCAGCCACUCGAGUUGCCUUCCUACACGUCAGAGCCGACCAUGCCAUUCUCCUGCUUAAAAACCCAUCUCACUGGCUAUGGGACCAAAUGAAACCUUCAAUGCUUGACACACAAGCCUUUUCCAACGUGGCCGACAAACACACACUUGCACAAACACACCCACACACACAUACUUAUUAAUUCAGUAACACAGACAUUUAGCAGUUCACCAAACAUGCCUGAUUUUUCACAACUCUGCAUACUCUGUUUCCUCUAUCUAGAAUGUUCUUCCCUGUCUGUAUCUGGCAAACCCUAAAUCCCGCACGAUGCUUUGCCUAACCUCUCAGGUAGACCCGCAGUGUUGCUGCUGUGAAAGGAAAAUAACUCUUGGGACCCCCAAAUCACUACACUAAAGAAAAAAGUCAAGCUGGAAAUUGCUUAAGGCAAAACUGCCUCCCAUUCUAUUCAGAGUCAUCCCUCUGCUCACUGAAAUAAAUGCGUAUCUGAUUGCCUCCUUCUGAAAGGCUAAUCAGAAACUCAAUGCAAAUGGUUAUUGAGAAACCAAUGGUUAUUUGUCUCUCACCUACUUAUGACCUGGAAGCACCACCCCCCCGCCCUCACCUUUCUGGACAGAACCAAUGUACAUCUUACAUAUAUUGAUUGAUGUCUCAUGUCUCCCUAAAAUGUAUGAAACCAAGCUGUGCCCUGACUACCUUGAGCAUAUAUCGUCAGGACCUCCUGAGGCUGUGUUAUGGGCAUGCAUCCUUAACUUUGGCAAAAUAAACUUUCUAAAUUGAUGAAGACCUGUCUCACAUAUUUUGAGUUAAUCUCCAGUAAUAAAGCAUGAAUCUGAGCUAUAUAAAGAGAAGGGGGAGCUGCAGAUUCCCAGCAGCUAUGAGUUACUCAGCAUCAACCUUACCCCUCCUGCAAGGCUUCUCAUCCACAUCACAGUUGAUCCACCUUGAGCUCUCCUAUCCGGUGUUUCCUCUUUCCUGGACUAUGAUCCAUAAGGACUGGGUCCAUCUUGAGUAGUUGUGACCCUCAAUGGCCAACAUAGUGGAAACUCAACAUACAUUUAUGGUAUGGGCAAAUGAGUGAGUGAAUAUAUGCAUGGAUGAAUUUCUACUACUUAUAAUGGUCUAUUGUAAUUGCCCAUUUUCUUUUCUGUUUUCCCCAACUCAACUGGGCAUUCUGUUAGGCAGAAACUGUGUCUGCUUUCUUCACCAGUACUAUGCAUCCCAGUGCAAGGGGUAGUGCCAGAUCAGUAAGUAUUUAAAAUAUGGAAGGAAAGGAGGGACUGGGGGAAUGUUGAUCCUCUAAAAGCUUGUCAUCUAGUUGGGGAGGCCAGAUUAGCACAUAUGAAAUAAUCUGAGAAUGAGAAGCAACUAAACUGAUAGCUGUAACAUUCUGAGAUCUUAAGAUACCCACAGAAGCUGAGUUGGUGUGAGCUGGAAAUGGAGUGCCUGGGGACUGAAAGGCCACAAAGCUCUGUCUAGGAAAGGCUGGUAAUGGGACCAACCAUUCAGGCAGAAUUUGGCUGGGACAGUAUUGUGAAUUUGAAGGUUUCUGAGGGAAGGGAAGUGUUGAUAACUGAUCUAAGGUGAUUGGGCUUAGAUUAUACACACGGAGUGCUUAGAGGUGAAUCGGAAUUCUAGGUCCCUUCUUCCCCAAACUCACUAUUGGGCUAUGAUGAAAGUGCAGGGGGGAGUUUGGCCUCACAGACAAGCCUGUCUUACAAGGCAGGACAACCAUGGCCACACCUUUCCUGGUAAACACUUCCAGCUCUCUAAUCUUUGGGUACUUGACAAGUGCAUUGCAUGAAAGGUUCACUCAAAAUAGAUGUAACAGCAUUUUAGUGUCAGGAGAAUAUGUUAGACUUUUAGUUGAAUCAGGAGACAGAUCUCUCCGUUAAGUGAUAAAAUACAAACCCAAAGGGAGUCCUAGCCCAGGAAUGUCCCUCACAAAGAGAGUUAGGCUACAGUGUUCACCAAAUUCUUAAAUUCUUAAUUCAUAUAAGAGCAAGAUUCUAGCCAAAGCUUAAGUACUAAAGUUUCACCAAUGAAACAGUCUUCUUUUCUUUUCUUUUCUUUUCUUUUCUUUUCUUUUCUUUUCUUUUCUUUUCUUUUCUUUUCCUUUUGAGACAGUCUUGCUCUUGUUG